ACUGCCAGUCCAGCACUGUCUGAAGUUUCUGUGGAGAGUCACGUCACUGAGAUGAGUUCUGCUCCAGCACCACAGUCCCCUGAGGUCACUGAGUGCAGGACUGUGGCUCAGGCUCCUGCAGGUACUUGUGUCUUUGAGAGUGAUGUUGCUGCCAAUCCAGCACUGUCUGAAGUUUCUGUGGAGAGUUACGUCGCUGGGACGAUUUCUGCUCCAGCACCAGAUUCCCCUGAGGCGACUGAGAGCAAAACAUUGGCUGAGGCUACUGUAGACACUUGUGUCUUUGAGAGUGGUGUUGCUGCCAGUCCAGCACUGUCUGGAGUUUCUGUUCAGACUGUUGCCAGUGUUGUGAGCAGUGGUUCAACUGCAGAAACAACUGUUACUGAUGGCAGGAGGCGUAGGACUUCUCGUUACACUCGUUUGUUAAAGAAAUCAAAGCGCUACGAUGCUCCUGAGCUCAACGCUGAUGUGGAGUUUGUAGCUGCUGUGAGGACCGAGGAGCUGGUCUUCUGUCCUCUUGAUGUUGAUGUUUGUCGGACUUUGUGUAGCAGGUUUGAUGUUGACUUUGAGCGGGUCAGUGCUUCUGCGUCAAGCCGGGUUGGUUCGCUGGGUGUUCCUUGCAGGAAGGAGAAGGUAGUGGCUGAUGGGAACUGCUUCUUCAGAGCCAUCUCUCAGGCUGUGAGUGGCUCUCAGAAGCACCAUCGUAAGAUCAGACUGGCUGUCUGUAAACAGCUGGAGAAAGAGGCAGCUCAGUACCAGAGCUUGUUGAGAUCUGAGUUCUCCUCUGUCUCCCAGUACAUUCAGCAGUCUAGGAUGAGGUUUGUGGGUAGUUGGGCCACAGAGGUGGAAAUUCAGGUUACAGCUGACUGGUUAGGAGUUAGUGUGUGUACCUUCACCGAUGGACGCUGGUUGAAGUACGGUUGUAGCAGGAAGCAGUUGUCGCCACAGUGUAUUUAUUUGGAGAAUAUUGGUGGGACUCAUUUUGAGAAUGUUGUCUGUGUUUGUGAGCCUGGACUGGAGAGCUGUUAUGGCUACUGUAAAGUGAGUGAGGUGACUGGUUACAGCAUGAGGUCGAGGAUGGUGGAGGCUGUAGUUUUGGAUACAGACAGAGCAGGAUGUGAAGGUGAUGUAAGUGUUGUUUCUAAUGAUGCUGUGAAGAAUGUUCGUAAAGUUAGACCAAGCAGUAGACUGUUUGAGUCAAUAUAUAUGAGACAGAAAAGAUGGAGACAGGAAAAAAAUAGCUCGAAUGUACAUAAACGUAGGGAAAUUUGCAGGAAGAGAUAUUUAAAAAAUUACGUCUUUAGAAAGAAGGAAAUGGCUCGUAGUAUAAAAAAGUAUUCUCAAGAUUUUUUACACAGGCAGAGAGUUAAAACAAGGAGCAUCUGUAAAUAUAGAGAUGUUAUCGAACACAGAGAAAGGAUCAAAAAGGAUAGUGUUAAUAAAUACAGAACAGACCCACAGCAUAGGCAGAAUGUGAAAGAAAGUAGUGUUAAUAAAUACAGAACAGACCCACAGCAUAGGCAGAAUGUGAAAGAAAGUAGUGUUAAUAAAUACAGAACAGACC
rnacentral:lncRNA from 1 species